rnacentral:lncRNA from 1 species
GGCUGGUGACAGCACCACCCCCGCGCCGCCUGCAAUCUGCCACCGCUGCCACCGAGCCGAGGGGCGCCAGCAAGGCAUCCCCUGGGUCAAGGGGCCUCCCGUGGGCUUUCCAAACAGCCUGUGCUCAUUUCCGCGGGAGCCCUCGGGGCGCUGUGCUGUGGCUGCAUUGUCACUGUUUGUUUAUUUCUACAUCUGCUCUGUUAGAAGAUAGGCUCGCUUAGGACAGAGCCUUCUAAUCCACCCCCUGAUGAAUUCGGGCCCUCGCCUUUGGCACAAUGCCUGGCGUCAUCACAACGCGGGUGAUCAGUAAACGGCAGCGAAGGAAGCGGGGUCAGGACUGGAGAGGAGAGGGGGAGGAAGACAGACGACCGGAGAGGAACAAAAAUGGAAGGUAACUUGAGCUUUCAUAACUGCAGAAGUGCAAAACAGCUCCCUGUGUGAUAUAGGAAGUAAAACCGUAGAGAUGGGACUUGGCUGGCCUGCCCUUCACACACUUUAGACAUUAACCCAAAGUUCAUGCUCCUGCCAUGACAGUGAUGGUGGACAGGAGGGAAGAAAAUGACAAGGAGGAAAGGAGGUGUCUUUUGCUCUUAAAAAUGAGAAGGGUCAUAAACAAUCCAUCGGCUGCAAACCACGAGUUGCCCCCAAAGCAAAGCAGGUUAGUGGCUGCUGCCGCCUCAUCAUAGCUUCAGAACCCACAGAGCCUGGAGGACUGUCAAACAUUAUCUAAUAUCCCAUUCUACAGAAGAGAAAACUGAGGUUGAGGCAGGAACGCAGACAGGAAUCAAGGUUUUGGGGUUGGGAUUUGCAAUCCAUUACUUUGCCUCCUGCAUCCACUGCUUUUCCCUGGGCAUUCUCUUCUUCCGGUUUCUUGGAAGUUAAAAUUGCGAGAGAAGCAACACAGAGUGGUUUUCCCAGGGCCUCGACCUCGGUAAGGGAAGACGUGGAAUUCCGAGUGUGGAGACCCAGACAGCCUCCGAAACCCCCACGCAACCCUGGGCGUUCAGCAGCUGCCAAUGCCCGCCUGACAAGUUUCUGGGGCAUCUCUGCACACGGAGAGGUGUGUCUCCUGCAGCUCCAAAAACAGAUUUUGCCAUCUCAUCCCCAUAUUUGCAGUCUCCAGUUGGCUUCUUGUGAUUGGCCAGAACUUUUCCUCACUGGAGAGAUGAGGAGAAUCCAGUCCUCCAACCAGCUGAGAGAAAACACUGCAGUAGCAGAGAUAGCAAUGGCUGUUCCACCCCACACUGAUACGAUGUCAGGGAGCCAGGGGUGGGCUCAACAGGCUGAAUGAUGCCAGGGACUCCCAAGGGUCUAUACAUUUAACCCUGGAGGAAGUGGCCUCUGACCAGGCAGUGUUUCAAGAACCCAGCUCCAUUCAUCCUAUGAUGCCACCAUCCUCAGCAUUUGACUUCCAUGGCUCCUAUGAUGUCUCGCUAUGUUGCCCAGGCUGGGCUUGAACUCCGGGACUCAAGGGAUCCUCCCACCUCAGCCUCUUGAGUAGCUGAGAUUACAAAGAGCACAGAAGCUUUCAGGGUGGAGAGUCAGGACAGGUUCUAUGGACAUAUGGAGCUCCCAGGGGGGCUUGUGCAGGACUCAAGGAAAUGUCCAGCUUAACCUGCUGGGCACAACAAUUUUGCUGCUUCAACCCAUCUGCUAUGGAAAAUGAGGAGCCAACAAAAAAGGGAGAAACAGAGGUGAAGGCACCUGAUAAUGAAAGCUUUAAGAAAGGGAAGGGGUUCUUCCUCCCUACUGGACCACAGGCGUGUCUCAGCAUUGGGAAGGGUCCUAGGAUGCAUUGUAAAAGAAAGUCUGUAAUUUUGGUGCAUCAAGGAACAAAAGUGUGGAAACAUCCAGCCUGUGGCUGCUGGACACUCCCCUUCUUCCUUCUCACCAUACUGUCUGUAAUAAAGAAUAAAGUGUUAUUUAAUAUUCUGAGUGUACAGUCCUAUUUUUUCUUAACCUGGCAAACCAGAAACAGCAACUAAUAUUCCUGGUUCUCUUUUUACCUUUCACAAGAUCUAUAUCUACCUUAGAGGCUUCAGGGAACAAGAACAGCCUGGAUAGUUUAAACCUAGAGUUAAACUACUCGAGGCAUUUUAAGGUACCGCUACUUCACUAUAUAUAAAUGGGGUGGGGGGCUGGAUUAAGGGCUAGAAGAAUAUAUGAAGAGAAAGUGGCAAG